rnacentral:rRNA from 1 species
UUCCGGUUGAUCCUGCCAGACCUGACUGCUAUCGGAUUGAUACUAAGCCAUGCGAGUCAUUGUAGCAAUACAAGGCAGACGGCUCAGUAACGCGUAGUCAACCUAACCUAUGGACGGGAAUAACCUCGGGAAACUGAGUAUAAUGCCCGAUAGAACAUUAUGCCUGGAAUGGUUUAUGUUCCAAAUGAUUUAUCGCCGUAGGAUGGGACUGCGGCCUAUCAGUUUGUUGGUGAGGUAAUGGCCCACCAAGACUAUUACAGGUACGGGCUCUGAGAGGAGUAGCCCGGAGAUGGGUACUGAGACACGGACCCAGGCCCUAUGGGGCGCAGCAGGCGAGAAAACUUUGCAAUGUGCGAAAGCACGACAAGGUUAAUCCGAGUGGUUUCUGCUAAAGGAACCUUUUGUUAGUCCUAGAAACACUAACGAAUAAGGGGUGGGCAAGUUCUGGUGUCAGCCGCCGCGGUAAAACCAGCACCUCAAGUGGUCAGGAUGAUUAUUGGGCCUAAAGCAUCCGUAGCCGGCUCUGUAAGUUUUCGGUUAAAUCUGUACGCUUAACGUACAGGCUGCCGGAAAUACUGUAGAGCUAGGGAGUGGGAGAGGUAGACGGUACUCGGGAGGAAGGGGUAAAAUCCUUUGAUCUCUCGAUGACCACCUGUGGCGAAGGCGGUCUACCAGAACACGUCCGACGGUGAGGGAUGAAAGCUGGGGGAGCAAACCGGAUUAGAUACCCGGGUAGUCCCAGCUGUAAACUAUGCAAACUCAGUGAUGCAUUGGCUUGUGGCCAAUGCAGUGUUGCAGGGAAGCCGUUAAGUUUGCCGCCUGGGAAGUACGUACGCAAGUAUGAAACUUAAAGGAAUUGGCGGGGGAGCAC